rnacentral:rRNA from 1 species
UGCCCAAAAGAGGGGGAUAACACUUGGAAACAGGUGCUAAUACCGCAUAACCAUAGUUACCGCAUGGUAACUAUGUAAAAGGUGGCUAUGCUACCGCUUUUGGAUGGGCCCGCGGCGCAUUAGCUAGUUGGUGGGGUAAAGGCUUACCAAGGCAAUGAUGCGUAGCCGAACUGAGAGGUUGAUCGGCCACAUUGGGACUGAGACACGGCCCAAACUCCUACGGGAGGCAGCAGUAGGGAAUCUUCCACAAUGGGCGAAAGCCUGAUGGAGCAACGCCGCGUGGGUGAAGAAGGUCUUCGGAUCGUAAAACCCUGUUGUUAGAGAAGAAAGUGCGUGAGAGUAACUGUUCACGUUUCGACGGUAUCUAACCAGAAAGCCACGGCUAACUACGUGCCAGCAGCCGCGGUAAUACGUAGGUGGCAAGCGUUAUCCGGAUUUAUUGGGCGUAAAGGGAACGCAGGCGGUCUUUUAAGUCUGAUGUGAAAGCCUUCGGCUUAACCGGAGUAGUGCAUUGGAAACUGGGAGACUUGAGUGCAGAAGAGGAGAGUGGAACUCCAUGUGUAGCGGUGAAAUGCGUAGAUAUAUGGAAGAACACCAGUGGCGAAAGCGGCUCUCUGGUCUGUAACUGA